rnacentral:rRNA from 1 species
GGACUGCAGCCUGCAACUCGGCUGCACGAAGCCGGAAUCGCUAGUAAUCGCAGAUCAGCAUGCUGCGGUGAAUACGUUCCCGGGCCUUGUACACACCGCCCGUCAAGCCAUGGGAGCCGGGGGCGCCUGAAGUCCGGGACCGCGAGGACCGGCCUAGGGCGAAACUGGUAACUGGGGCUAAGUCGUAACAAGGUAAC